UCCUUCGAGAUGGCCGCCGCACGAUAUGGGAUUAGUGUACGCAUUACCGUGGCAGUCUCCUGUCACGAUUCCUGCCGCCGCAGGGGAACAGCUCCAGCGUGGCCUCUGCGGUUUGUUGUUUUUACCCGUCCCAUUGCAUACCGACGCGGCCCGUGAGCACGGAAAAAACCACGCAACACACAGCGCACUGCCCGGUCUCCUUCAUCUUCGCUCCAAUGGAUUGGGGGCAGGGACGCGAUUCAAUCUCGCCGGCGCUCGCCGCACCAGGCACCUCCCCGGCGGCCGGCUUCAGAUCCAACCAAGCCGCCGGCGGACCGUCCUCCGCAGCCAGGCAGAUCGAUGGAAAGUGUUCGGGGUCGGAUCUAUCGUGGUGUCCAGCCAUCCAGGAUAUUGCGCGAGUCCCAGAUGAAACAACAUGCUCCAAGUAAGUUGCCCGGAGCCGCGGUGCCCGCUGCCGCCCGGAGCUGGAUUUCCCCGGCGGCGCGCCGAUCCCGCUGCCGCCCGGAGCCGCGGUGCCCGAUGCCGCCCGGAGCUGGAUUUCCUCGGCGGCGCGCCGGUCCCGGUGCCUCCUCUUGAAUCCCCCUCCCCCGCUCUAUCUCUGCCCCCUCCCCCGCGGGCUAGGCUGCUGCUAUUUUCGCUCCCUGUAUCGGUGUCGAAUAUUGACCAGAGUCACGGGCCGUGUCCCAUAGCUGUUUGUCUCUUUUCUGGCUGAAACAGUAGUUCCAUCACGGGGGAACAGUGCCCACGCGUAACAGUCUCGUCCCGCUCGUAACAGCCGCCGUGGGUCAAUUACGGGAACGGCUGGCCCCAAUCCAUAGGUAUAUGGAUGGCCAGGAUAGGCGGGCCGGGGCGCACCUGCUCUAAAAUCUAUUUUCGGUAACUACCAAUCUCACCAAAAACCCUAGCACUAUAUAUCUUCGGUAGAUUCAGACAAAUUUCUAGGUUUCGUAGCUUCAUUCAAUUGGUGAAUGACGAGGACAAGGGGUCACUUUAAACUCUAGAUCGAGGACCGGCUUUCCUGUGAACCUAUCAGAUUCGGAGGGAGUAAUGUUGUGGACUCCAAUUGGGGACAUGACAAGCACUGUAGAGGAUGUGCAGAUGUGUCGCGGAAGAAACAAUCUAGAUGCUGCCUCUACCGGUUAUACAGGGGCUAAUACGUAUUUCGAGAUUUUUAAGCUGACCAUCAAUAGGAUCAAUAUAUAUAUAUAUGAGAUGUAUGCUAUAAAAAUUAUACCAUUAGGAACUCCUUUCAAAUACGAAUUCGAUGGUAUACUUUUUGUAACACACACGUCAUAUACUAUUGGUCUAAAUGAUGGUUAAAAUAAAACUUGAAAUACACAUUAGUCCUUAUAUAUUCGGAUGGAGGGAGUACGGAAAAUGAUGUGUGCUUUUGAGAUUUCAGUUAAUUUCUGUUUCUUGGCUGAGAGAUAUUUUUUGGGGAAAAUUUGAAUUUCAAUAAGGCUCAACUUCUCGAUUAAAUGCGUUCCACAAUAAGAACACAACAAUCAAAGCUUCAGGCAUGGUGGUUACAAGCCACCAUCCUCAACGCAACACAGAGAUUGUGGUUUUUAGUCCUUGAGCUCAUAAAAUGUCGGUUUUUCUACACUCGUAGCCGUCCGAGGGACCAACAUAUCAGACAAUGUCAUACUGAAACUAUAAUGAAAAAAAAGGAGGGAAUGUGGGAUUUGAACCCAGAUUCAUCUCAAGUACUCCCUCCAUUCCAUAAUAUAAGGGCGUUUUUGACACUACACUAGUGUCAAAAACGCUCUUAUAUUACGGGACAGAGGGAGUAGUACAUUACCAGUACCACCCUACCACUAGGACCAAGAUGACUCUUUAUCCUUUAGGAAGUUGGAACUGACAGAACUUUUGCCAGUUUGGUGGGGUAAUCAGGGAGCACCGAGAUUUAAAUCCCAGUGUGCAGCUAGUAGCAGAAACGAACACCUUCUCGAUGUAAGGAAAAUCCUAUUCUUAUUUAAAAAUCUUAUGAAAUCCAUACGUACUGGUUUAUUUUGGAUUGUUACUGCUCCCACGAUUUUAGCAACCGUCACUUCAAUGAACUGGUACGUAAAACUUUUUGUCGAACCUGUACGUACGAAUAGCAUUGCUCAUACAAGUUCAAUAUACCAAUUGGUGGGAAAAGUCAGAGGUGAAGGUAGCAGAACAGAACCCCUUCUCUAAAAGUAAAAAAAGCAAAAGAGCCCUUUCUAACCUCCAUCAAGGAAAACCUUCCAUAUCUGCACACAUAAUGCAAGGAGAGACCAGUUGGGGCAGAACAUUGACUUAAGUUCAGUCCAUGACACCAUAUCUUGUUAGGAAUGUUCAGCUGAGCCCAUUUCUUGUUUGGAAAGUUGAAUGCUUAUCUGCUGAAGGGUCUAAAAUCUUAGGAAUCAUGUGCAACUAAUAGUUCCAUAUACACAAUUUAACCUUUGAGAACCAAGCAAGAAAUAAAUACCCUCUUCUGUUAGUGCAGAGAUGCUGCUUUGUACCGUAGCAGCCUUCUGUUGCAACUGGAAACAAGAAUACUCAGUUUCCUUAUUAGUUGGCUUUACUCUUUAGAUAUAUUAUGUGUACUCUUGAUAACUUCCGUUUUUGGCACUCUUCAUGGAUGGGUCAAGUCAAAUAAUCAAGCAUCUGUUAGAGCCUCAGAUUUGGACACUAUUCAUGGAUGGGUCAAGUCAACUAAGCAUAGUACUUCCUCCGUUCCUAAAUAUAAGUCCUUGUAGCGAUUCCACUAUCCGUUCCUAAAUAUAAGGCGACUGAUAGGCGCCGGCGCGCCGGUCGAAAGUUUCGACCGGUCGCGCCCCAGCCACCCGAUUGGCCCAUCCCGAGCCGUUGGAUGCUCGUUCAUUUAGGUCGUCUCCUUCCUUCUCAUCUCUGUUCACGUUUCAGAUCUCAAGAAACACCGCAGGCCAUGGCGGCCGCCCCGUCAUCGCCACGUCGCGCAGCGCAGCGCCCGGCUGCCUCUCCCCCGUUUGUCGCCGUCGACAGCCGCUGCCGUGCUCGCCGCCACCGCUCGCCGACGACAGCCGCCCAUGUUUCAUUGAUAAAUGCAGCUCGCCUGCCGACCGGCUCCAGCGCAUGCCACCGUGGUUGCAACAUCCCUGAGCCCCCACCACCGCCUCCGCUCAUCGCCGUCGUUCGGUUCGCACCACCGUGUCCUCAGCAAAAAAGAAGCAAAAACACAAAACUCCAUUAGUUUGUCAGUAGUAGCAAAAUCACAUGCUGGUUGCAGCAAAAAAAACAUCGAAUCCAACAAAAAAACCUAAAGUUGCGCCGGCCGCUUCAAAAUUUUCAUCUAUCAU